rnacentral:misc_RNA from 1 species
GUUCUACUUGAAUUAGAUAUUUAAGAAUAAAAAAUAAAGUAGUGAGCGCGAGAAAUAAACUAAUAUGAUACUCUGAUACCAUAGGACAUGCCUAAACAUCCCAUCACGAAAUAUGCAACGAGAUAUAACGUAACACAUCUGUUUAUUCAAUCAGGCUUAUCUUCUUCUGGACAUUCUCAGAAAUCUUGUUCAAUUUUUAUGACACACAAAUGCAUAUACAACAACUCCUUAUUCCUGAACAUGCCCAUAAAUCUUAUUGUAUGUCUUCUGAAAAUACAAAGACGGAUCAAUCUUCAUGUAAG